UGCCUUCCUAAUCAUCUGAAAUUCCCAAUUAAUCUCGGAAGAUUUCUCAAUCUAAUCAGGCAGAUAAGAUAAGAACGCAAGGAAACAAAAACAGUGGGUACCCAGAAAAAAAAGAGGCAGGAAGCUCACAUCUUUUGGAGCCGAAUCAAAUCUGGCAAACCCUUGGGGAUUGAGGCCUCGCUUGUCGUUGAAGCAACCUAUUUACAACGACGACGACGACGACGAGGAGUGCAGGUCUUGGGGUCGGAGGUUUUCCACGGCGUUCACUUGGGGUUUCGCGCUCAGGAUCGCUCUCCUCCUCCUCCUCCUUGUGGCCGCCGUUGACACGGCUUGUUUUACUCUUCCUGUUGAAAAGACGUUGACAGUAAAUUUGAAAGGAAUUUAGGGAGGUGCCCAAUUUGAUGGGCUUGAAACUGAGAUUGCAUUUUCAAGCAUGCCCAACUCACUUUGAUUUUUAGUUUAUUUGUAACUAGAUUUUUGUAACACUUGAAUAUGGACACAGUUAUCGCUUUGUUGCUUGUUAGCAUACAAACAAUCACACUUUUCCAUUUACAUCCAAAUGUGACAAUGCAGUAGGACUUCCCUUUCGGA